UUAAAAUAAAUUAUAAACAAUUUAUAAAUAUAUUUAUAUACGUAGGUGCAAAAAAUGUAUGUUUUGUUUGUUCUAUGAAACUCUGUUAUUUUACUAUAUAAUUUGUAAGAAUUUAUUUUUAUUUUGUUUACAAAUACGACAAUUGUUGAUAAUUUUUUAAUAUCUUAAUACAACAAUGAAAUAUACUGUGUGUAAUACUUUAUUUCGAAAAUACAUAUUUCUAUAAUUAAACAAAUAUUUGAAUUUAUUUACGUAGUUCAUCAUCACACUUCAGUUGUCAAAAGUGACAUUAUAAUUCUCGUGUUAUGGAAUACAAACAAUAUCAGUACAUACACGUUUAUCAUAAUUUGUAACGAGUUGAAGUUUUCAGUUGUGUAUUAAAUAUUGUUAUGGAUUAUAAUACCUCAAACCUGUAAUAUUAAUCAAAAAUGGCAGUUUGUGUAGCUGUAAUUGGAAAAGAUAAUUCCCCAAAAUAUAUUAGGUGUGCAGAUGAAUCGUCAGCGUUGCAAUUUCAUUGUAAAGUUCAUACUUCAAUAGAUAUUAUAGAAGAGAAAUUAAAUGUUGGAAAUAAAACAGCUAUAGAUACAAGAGAGUUAUAUUUAGGUUUACUGUAUGCUACUGAAGAAUAUAAAAUAUAUGGUUAUGCUACAAAUACAAAAAUCAAGUUUGUCAUAGUAUUACAAUCAUCAAACGCAUUACCAAGAGAGAGUGAUGUAAAAAUGACCUUCAAAAAAUUACAUGCAGCUUAUUCUAAUGCUGUGUGUAAUCCAUUCUACAUUCCAGGUGAUCAAGUUAAUUCCAGGUCUUUUGAUGUAUCAGUAAUGGAAAUAAUGGGUAUUUUGUAGAUUUUAAUAAAAUAUAUUAUUUAAGAUUAAAAUAUCAUACAUAUAAUUCAAAUCGGUGAAACCUCUGUUAAAUUAUGUAUAAAUUAUUAUAGAGAUUGACUUUUGCUAUGUAGAGCAAGAUUAGUUGAAAAAUUGUAUCUAUAUAGAAUUUGUAAUAUUUUAAUUUUAUAAUUUAUACAUUUUUACAUUUACUGAAAAAAUCGUAAAUAAUCAUAAAUUGAAAUAACAUAUCAAAUAAAGAUAUAGAAUGUAGAAUAUUACAAACCUUCAAUGUCAACUUCUGCUUGUUUCUUCUUUCUUGGUAGACUUAUCAAAACAAGAUAAUAUCAUUGAGCAGUUUAAAUCAUCUACAAGGAACUAAUAUCAGAAACAAGUAAUUUUCUCAACAACUUGUAGCACAAGUGACAUCAUUUAAAGUCGAACAAUGAAAGAACAUCAAUAUCAGAUAUGUAAUUGAAAUCAUGGCAGAGAAUUGUAUUUAACAAUUAUUUAAAGAAAAGGAGAAAAAGUAAAAAGCUUUCAGAUAAUGAGUUAAAAAAAAAAUAAAUUCCAUCUUACACAACUCAAAAAUUCUGUUUUUAUAAAUAAGAUUUUAUACAUUUCGACAAAACAUUACAUUGUUUAGUUACAACGACAACAUAUUUAAAACAAAUUUUUAAAUCUAUCUUUUUCAUUAUCUCAAAACUUCGCAACACACAUUUUUAAAAAAUUUCAAAAGAACAAAAAAUAGGACGCUCAGUCCAAUUGAUUGUGCCCAUUGUAGUAUUAUUUCCUGUUUGCUUUUUUGUAAUGAUAUCCUUUAUUGUCUCUAUUUUACAAAAACAAAGAAGCAACACUGAUAUAUUGCUCAACCGACGACGACGUAACUGAUGAUAUAUAAUUUGUUAGGAAACGCGAUGAAGGUUCAUCUGCGCUGUGUUGCGUUUACAAAAUUAAUCAGCACAACCCGCAGAAUCGUAUUCUCUACAAUACAACUAGAAAAAUAGUUUUAUUUGAGACGAUGCAAAUCAUCCCUAAGUGUCUGACGUUUCUCGUCUCAACGGGAUGACAUUAAUCAGUGAAAUUAAAAUUCGAUGUGGGGUUCUCCAGUUCUUAAGAACAUGAAAAUACACUACCAACAGACUUUUCUUGUAAUAAUAAUAAUAAUAAUAAUAAUAUUUUUACCAUAUAAAUGAUAGAAACAUUCAAAUGCUAAUUAUAUGUACAGAGUAUGAUGUAGCAUUUAGGAUCUGUUUCAUGGAUGGAUUCAGCACUUAAAAAAUGAUUCAUAUAAACUUGUGUUUACUUUCCUCUUGUUUCAGAUUUAUAGCGAGCUUGGUAUCCCAGUAAUAAUAGUUUUGGAAUUAAAAUAUUUUGUUAAUGUAUUGAAGAUUACCAAGGAAUUCAAGGAUAAGAUGACGGACAAUAAGGCUUACAUGUUUGUAUCAAGAUACAAGGUGUAAAUAUUAAUACUACAUAUAUUUUACUUAAAAUUUUUAUCUUCUAUCAAAGUAAAUGAAUACAAACAGAACUCGCUGUAACUCAGAAACAAGAUUGAAUUGAACAUGUACAAGUAGAUGAAGGUAUUCACAGCUGAAAUACAUAUAAAUUACUACUGUACAAAGCACCAUGUAUACAUAUACUUAACGUAAGUUAACAUUUCAUUUUUAUUAUAAUCAGAGGUAGUGUCAGUUACAAAAGUAUUCGAACUCUGUUUCAAGAAUGUCAUUUCUUUUAAGCUAAUACAAAGUGUGUACUAUAAAAAUUGUUUUUUGUCCUACAUAGUUUACAUGUAAAUGCUGUUCGAAUACUUUCAUGCACCAAUGUAUACUUACAUGAACUCAUUUUCAUUGAAAUUGCUUUUAAGUGUUGAAUCUAUUUCUGAAAUGGGUCCCACAUAUUACAUUGCACUCUUCAUAUACAUGUACGUGUAUGUGUAUAUACAUACUAUAUACACAUAAUAUUUCAACAAAAUUACUGAUCUUGAUUUUUUACAACAGUCGACAAAAUUUUGCACAGUUAAUGCAAUGAAUACAAAUUCUUCGCGAUAACAACGUAACAACUUUUAUAAAUGGAGUAUUGACGGAGAAACUUGCAUUCAUUGCACAUUUGGUGCAACCAAAAAAAAAACAUGGGCAAUUAGAAAGAAAUAAAGGAGAAAAAAAUAGAAGAAAAAAAAGCGUGAAAGUAUGCGCGUACCAUAAAUGAAUUCGAGAAGCGCAUUUGGUGUUGAGAUCGAAUGGUGCAUACAAGACCAUAAAAAAAACUUAAUCCAUUGUUGAUUCAACGUUAUGAUCAAAGAAUUAAAGAAAAAAAAAUUAAAAGAACACAAAAUGCCAAUAUACAACAUGUAUAUACAGGGUGAAGCUAAACGUAUAAUUGGAUAGAAAAUGAUUCUUCACAUAAACAUUAAUUGAAAAUAUAGAAUAAAGCAAUUAAUGAAACUAUUAAUACCACUAAAAUCUAUUACUAUUAUUAUUAGUGGUGUACAAAAGUUUGUGUCAUCUAUGUAUAGCUAAGGAAGUGCAAUUAUCUUUCAAUGAUUUUAUUUACAGAUUUCCUUCACUGCAGUAUCCAUGUUCUAUUUAAAGGUGGAACAAAAUGAUAUUGUCAGAAACUGUUCUGAUUAAAAAUACUCUGUUAUUUCUAAAAUAUAAGUAAAGUAAAUUAUUCUAAAGAAAUGAAAACCUUAUAUACUACUAAUAAACUGUAUUUUUCACAUUUUUAAAGUAUUAAAAAUAUAAAUGUAAAGCUAACAAAUUUUUAAAUUGAAUUUCUAGAAAACAAAAACUGUUAUAUUAUUUUAAUUAAUUUUUAUAUAAGGAAUCAUUUCUUGCUUCACCUUGUACGUCCUAUGAUGUACGAAAGAAGCUAAAAAGAACAAGAACAUAAAAACGUUUAACAUUGACUGAAAGACGAGAGAAAAUAAUAAUAAUAAUUAUAAUAAUCAUUCAUAAUAACAACAAAUGACAACGUGCGUGUUACUUAUUAGCGUGAACGUAAUUCCCUGUCGCAUAUUUAUCUCCUUGCGUUCGUAUCACCAUUUGCACUUUUCCUAUUCUUUCUUUUUCUUUUUUUCCCACUAUUCUACACUGUGUCCCUUUAAAACACAACACACUCUUUCUUUCAUUGAAGACAGAACUCUUAUUCGUCACAUACAUACAUAUGUAUGUACAUGCACAAAAAAAAAAGAAAAAAGAAAUGGCAGAAUAUGUUUUACUGGCUAACAAUAAAGUGUUUUUCUUUUUUUCGUGAAUUAAGGGAGAAUGAAUUAUGGAUAUAAAGUAACUUGUCAUUGGUGUAAGAUCGAUCGGAUAAAGUACCUAUGCUGAUGAAACAUAAUACAAAGGAAUGUCGCACGAUUUAAUAAUGGUUUCUUCUUUCUUUCCUUUCUUUUUUUUUAUUAAGUAACCAACUAAGGGCAGUCGGAUAGAAAAACGUUAACUAAAUGAAUUUUAUAAUUACAAAAGAAAUAUUGAACGGCGACUAGAAUGGUCAGUGUACAGCAUACAUAAAUUUUUAGUUACAUAAGUAACAACUAAAGAAAUAAGGAAAAUUCUAGAUAACCCUGAUAAUUCAAAAUAGCAAAUUAAAAUAUUAGAUUGAAAAAUUAACCAUCAAUACAUUGAUUACUAUAGAGGUCAUUGAUGAUUGGCGUUAAGAAUUUAUUAGCUGUACAAAUUAAUUCAGUGUUUUUUUUUAAAUUGAAGCUUUGUUUUAAAAAAAUCACGAUAACUUUAAUUAUUCAAAUAACCGUCGUUGUUACAGUUCUGCGCUACUUAUUACUAAUAUGGUUAUUAAAAAGGCGUAGUGCUAAAGGCACUGAAUUAAUUUGUAUAUCUAAUAAUUUAAUCAAGUAAUUAACAAAUGAAAGAAGACAUUUUGGAAUAGUAUUAAAAUCCCAAUCAAGAAACCGAAGCAUUGAAUUAAAAAAUUAUAAUUAAGUGAUUAAUAUAUAGUAUUAAUAACAGACUUUAAAGAUUUUAAAUGGUAUUACUAUUAUCCUAUAACUUAAAUAGUAAAUUGUAAAGUUGAAUGAUGGUACACUGGUGAUGAAAUCAGGCUUUGCUAAGGAAAGUAUUUGUAAUAUCCCGGGCUCCUGCUCCUUUCCGUAGACACGCCCGGAGAAAAGGACAAUGUAACGAAGAGGUCUCAUAUACAGUACUUAUAUGUAUGCGUAGCGAUCCUCUACGUUUGCGCGGGAAAAUUUGAAUUAAUACUUGCUUUUUUUAUAUACUAUUCAGUAAUGUAUUAAUACAUAACAAUUAAAACUCAUAUUAUUCUAUUAAUAAAUCACUUUAAAUGUUUAUAUCGUGAAAAUUAAGAUUUUGAAAAUUCUUACUUCCGCUAUAUGUACUGCAAAUUUUCCCUCUGGAAGUCAGAUUUGACCACGAGUGUACCUUGCAUAAUUAUUACAGUCAACUUAUUAAAAGGUCCUAAUUUUUUUCAAAAUAUUUGUUCUGUGUUUGCGUGUGUGUGUACAUUUUAGCAUUUGUUCAAGAUGAUUCUAUUUUCAUCAUAAUUAUUUAAAAAAAAGAAAAAAACCUGACUACACGAAACAAAAAAAAAAUAAAGAAAUCUUUUUAGAUGAGCAUUGAACAAAUAGAGAAACAAAUAGCAAUAAAUGAAAAACAUUGAAAAUUUUGUUUCUUUCCCUCAUGAUUUCUUGUUAUCGUGAUAUUUUAUAUAUUAUCUCGGCGCAUCUGUUGCUGAAACCUACAGAUUUUCAUUUUUUGUUUCUUUACUCUUUUUAUUCGAUAUACAAUUAGUCUCUGCGGCUAUGCUAGCGGCUCGAUCGUUUUACAAAUUAAACGCAAAUUACCUUGGAUUCUUUUUUUCUCGCACUUUUCAUGUCGUUACUUUUUCUAUUUUUUUUUUUUUUAAUACUCAUCGACGUUUAUCGAGACGUUCGAUAAAAAUCUUCUCCUUUCGAAUUCUACGCACGUACGUCUACACGUAUGCGACUAAAGAAAGGAAAAAAGAAAGAAAAACAAAAAGAAAAAGAAUCACGAAAAAAUUAGAGCGACUUAUCAUAUCACAGUAUCGUACGCAAAGCUUAUAUGAAAUCGCAGAUAGAACAGUAUAAAGGCCAAAUGGCGACACUAUACGCUCUUUUUUUUCUUCUUCACGGUAUUAUAAUAAUUAUCUGAGGAGGACAAUAUCUUUUUUUUUUUUGUUUAUAUCUCACUUUUUAAGAAGAAGCAUUUGAAAACAGCAUUCUCCGCACACUUUCUUCUCCUUUCUCUCUCACACAUACUUUCUGAUUCUUUCUCAUUCUCUCCGCUACUCUUUCCUUUUUCUUGUCUUUUUACUUUUUUCGUUCACUUCUUCGUUUGUUACACACUCUAUGGCAAUGAUUCUUUUACACCCAUGAUCCAUGAUAAUCUUUUGCACGAAUCUGAGGUUCUCAGUAUUAUUAGUAACAAAAUAGUAAAGCGGUAGCCGUUUUAUGGUUUUUUUACGUAUUCUGACGAUAAAUCGGUGGUUUGUGUUUACGAAUGGUGGAUUUAUACGAUAGAACUCCUUUUAUUUAAAAUUUUAUUUAACCGUCGAAUGACGGACCGCGGAAAGAGCCCUAAUUUCAAUUUAAUUUACAUUUUCAUUUUCUAAACUUUACUACUAUUACUUUAAAAAUUAUUCUUCCAAUAUAUGAAACUUUUUCGUUUAUCCCAGACUCCGCUGUUCAAGGAUUAAUAGAAUGAUUAGGGUAAUACAACAUAAAAGAUAAUCUACCCAUGGUUAAUAUUAAAAUCGCAUUUGAUUACCGUUUUCGGAGAUAGUGUUUUAUACUUUUGUUCAAAUGAAAUUGCAUUACUUUUGUUUAAGUUGAAAAUGUGUUACAUUAUUCUUUUAAUUAAUGAAGAUGUUUGUUAAAGAUAAAUUAAUGCUGUUUAAUACAAAUAUUAGAUGUACAAAUUAAUUCAAAGUAAUUUAUUUUAAAGUAAUGAUAAUUCCAGUUAUUGAAGUAAUCGUUGUUGUUAUAUCUUCGCGCCAUUUUUCAAAUACACAGAAGCGCGGAAAAAUAUUCAAAUUUAAAAUAAUAAUUAAGAAGAUGUAAUACUACAAAUACCGAAUUAAUUUACACACCUAAUACAAUCUUAAGCCUUAAUCUCUGGCAUUUCCAGAGUGUUUUUCAAUUCUGUCCACCAGUUCUGGUAUUCAAGUAACAAAUAUCUAAAUUCUAAAGUACUGAUUCCAUAUAUGUAUCCAAUUGUUAUAAAAAUCGUAAGACAAGGAUUUAAUUGAGCUUAGAAGGCAUAAAGAUUCAAAGUCGUGUGCCCUUACUAGCAGUCAACGUGUUAAAUAAAUUAUUAUUAUUAUAACUUUUGUUAAUUACUGCUGAUGAAAAUUCUAGAACAAAACAGUAAAACCUUUAUAAUAAAACAAAAUUUUUUAUUGUUCGAAUACUCUAUUAGCCCUUCGUUGCAUGAAAUCCUUAUAUUUUUUUAAAUAUUUGUGAUUUUAAUUUUUGAAAAUUUUUAAUGUUAUACAUUUCUACAGCAGCGAAAGAACUGUAUUUUUUUUUAAAUUAGAAAAAGAAAUUAUGCAAUAAAGAGUUAAACUGAUAAAUGAAUUCGUGACCUUCCCAUAUGUUUUGCAUCAAAAUAAUUGUUGACUUUUUAGUAAAUCUUACAAAAAUUGUCCCAAGCUCAGUAUGUUAAAAUAAUUCUGUGGGAAAAAAUGUGAAAGUCAUGAAUUUAAUUGCCAAUCUAGUAAUUAUUCGAAACUUUAUACACGUUCAAAAAAAUAAAGUUCUAUUUUCAGUUUCUUCACUAUUUCAAUCUUCAAAUUCGAGAUCGAUGCUUUUUAUUAGGAAAGAAAAAUUGUGUCUAAAAAUUUUAUUAAAGCACCACGAAUUAUCGUCCGAAUACAUAUUAUCACCGGCAAAGUACAGUAUGCAAGUAAUAUUCGAUGAUAAUUUCACUUUGUUUUUCUUUCAUUUUGGCCACUUAGCUCUGCAGAAGCAAUAUCUCAAUUAUAAAAUUCGCGAUUAUCACAAUUACUUAUUUAUACUCCCUAAUCACAUAAAUCAUUAAAAAGAAAAAAAGAUAUGUAUACAUAAAUAAACUUAUAUCAUAUUUCGAAUCGCUGUAAAAAAAUUCCAUAUUAUUCAGUCAAUUUCGACGCGUGAAAAAAACAAAAGAAAAAAAAGAGAGAAAACGAAAUUAAGUGGGGAAAAAAGAAACUCGAAUAUUACUUUAUACUGUUUCUUUUUUCUUUUAAAUACCUAUGAAAGGGAAAACUUUGGUAACAUACUAAACGUUGGCAACAACAUUCUUUCUCUCCAUUGUUCAUUAGUUUUCUUUUCGUUAGUUUCAGCUGGGCAGCACAGCCUUUAUCAUACACGCAAAAUAACUAUUUCUUUUUUUCUGUGUUUCUUAAAUUCUUUUUAUACGGCACAAGCACUCUGCGAUAACUUUUGCUUUUCUUCUUCGUUACCAAUUAGUUAGCGAUACAAUUAAUAGUUAAUUAAUAGUUAUUAAUAUACGUAUGUACAGCACAGAAAAACUAUUUCACACUGAAUAACAAAUUGUACAGUGAUACAAGGCUAACACUGAGAUCGUUGGAUACUCGUUUUUUUCUUUUCUUUGCUAAGUAUUGUUUUGCCCUUUUGAACGCCACCAAUACGCCUGCGAUAA